CCUACGGGUGGCAGCAGUCGAGAAUCAUUCACAAUGGGGGAAACCCUGAUGGUGCGACGCCGCGUGGGGGAAUGAAGGUCUUAGGAUUGUAAACCCCUGUCAUGUGGGAGCAAAUUAAAAAGAUAGUACCACAAGAGGAAGAGACGGCUAACUCUGUGUCAGCAGCCGCGGUAAUACAGAGGUCUCCAGCGUUGUUCGGACUCACUGCGCGUAACGCGUGCGGAGGCUGUUUCGUAAGUCGUGUGUGAAAGGCGCGGGCUCAACCCGCGGACGGCACAUGAUACUGCGAGACUAGAGUAAUGGAGGGGGAACCGGAAUUCUCGGUGUAGCAGUGAAAUGCGUAGAUAUCGAGAGGAACACUCGUGGCGAAGGCGGGUUCCUGGACAUUAACUGACGCUGAGGCACGAAGGCCAGGGGAGCGAAAGGGAUUAGAUACCCCGGUAGUC
rnacentral:rRNA from 1 species